GUGGGGAAUUUUGGACAAUGGGCGCAAGCCUGAUCCAGCAAUGCCGCGUGCAGGAAGAAGGCCUUCGGGUUGUAAACUGCUUUUGUACGGAACGAAACGGCUCUGGUUAAUACCUGGGGCUAAUGACGGUACCGUAAGAAUAAGCACCGGCUAACUACGUGCCAGCAGCCGCGGUAAUACGUAGGGUGCAAGCGUUAAUCGGAAUUACUGGGCGUAAAGCGUGCGCAGGCGGUUUUGUAAGACAGGCGUGAAAUCCCCGGGCUCAACCUGGGAAUUGCGCUUGUGACUGCAAGGCUGGAGUGCGGCAGAGGGGGAUGGAAUUCCGCGUGUAGCAGUGAAAUGCGUAGAUAUGCGGAGGAACACCGAUGGCGAAGGCAAUCCCCUGGGCCUGCACUGACGCUCAUGCACGAAAGCGUGGGGAGCAAACAGGAUUAGAAACCCUUGUAGUCC
rnacentral:rRNA from 1 species